GGGGGGAGGCCGGAUCCUGGGCUGUGUCCCGGCGCCCUGUGCUCCGGAGCCUGCGCUGUUGGAUUCGCGCUCCCGCCCCGCAGCCCCCU
rfam:Canis lupus familiaris chromosome 21, whole genome shotgun sequence.